UACGUAGGGCGCGAGCGUUAUCCGGAAUUAUUGGGCGUAAAGAGCUCGUAGGCGGUUUGUCACGUCUGCUGUGAAAACUGGAGGCUCAACCUCCAGCCUGCAGUGGGUACGGGCAGACUAGAGUGCGGUAGGGGAGAUUGGAAUUCCUGGUGUAGCGGUGGAAUGCGCAGAUAUCAGGAGGAACACCGAUGGCGAAGGCAGAUCUCUGGGCCGUAACUGACGCUGAGGAGCGAAAGCAUGGGGGAGCGAACAGG
rnacentral:rRNA from 1 species